rnacentral:rRNA from 1 species
CCUACGGGUGGCUGCAGUGGGGAAUUUUGGACAAUGGGGGCAACCCUGAUCCAGCCAUGCCGCGUGCGGGAAGAAGGCCUUCGGGUUGUAAACCGCUUUCGGCCGGAACGAAAUCGCCGGGGAGAACAUCCCCGGUGGAUGACGGUACCGGAAGAAGCAGCACCGGCUAACUACGUGCCAGCAGCCGCGGUAAUACGUAGGGUGCGAGCGGUGAUCGGAGCGUCUGGGGGUAAAGCGCUAACACAGAUGUGAAAUCCCCGGGCUUAACCUGGGAACUGCGUUUGUGACUGGCGGGCUGGAGUGCGGAAGAGGGAGGUGGAAUUCCACGUGUAGCAGUGAAAUGCGUAGAGAUGUGGAGGAACACCGAUGGCGAAGGCAGCCUCCUGGUCUAGCACUGACGCUCAUGCACGAAAGCGUGGGGAGCAAACAGGAUUAGAUACCCGGGUAGUC